rnacentral:ncRNA from 1 species
CAGAGUAGAAAUACACGCGUAAAGUGUUCUGCGGACGGGGAGUUGCCGCAGAAACGAAAAGCUUAUCUUGCGGUGUGUGUUUCGCAUCCCGCUGU